CUCAGCCAACAAAGUACAGUGGAGCAGCCCGGCUCAGCGCUUCUUGCAAAAUGAUUGGUCAAAGUUUUUCCGACUGCCUGAUAAAGCGUCAGCUCCGACAUAAAUCAAUCGGGCGAGGGGGCUGCGCUCUCGCUGUCAUCCGUCCGCACCGCAUUCCAUAUCGAGGAUGGAUUGUUUUAUGCUGAUGCAAUGUGCUAUCACGUCAGGGCUCCGGCGGCCACGUAACCUCAGCCCGAGCUGCCCGCCGCCCGCCCGCCCCCCCCCCUUUGCAGGAAGGGGGGUUGUUCUCGACAUGGGGCGGCGGGGGCGGAGGAGAGGCGGAGGGAAAGCAGCGGGCUGCCUCGGGAGGGAUGCAGGCUGUGGAGCCCUCUCCCCAGGCGGGUCCGGGAGGAAGAGAGGGAGAGCUGGGCAGAGGGAGGGAGAGAGCCAGCCUGGGGCGCAGACGGAGAGGCCCACUGCAUAAGAGGAGGUCGUCCUGCCCCCUCUACCUCAAACGCAUUGCCACUCCACCCCGCAGGCCUGGUUUCCUCUCCUCUGUCCCCUUUACAUAAGAUGUUUAUUAAACGGCAGUGCAGCGGCAAUCCACUGGAGAUGAAGUAAAGGGGAUGGGAGAGAAGUUGGGGGGUUUUAUAGGGCGUUAUCCGCUUUGGAGGGUUCUCUGUGACCAUGUUGGGAGGUUUACAAGCCUGGGAGCUUCUUCUGACCCCUCCGUAGCUGAGAGAGGAGAAAGGAGAAUAAAAAGGGCCUCUAGCCGUUUCCAGCACAGGAGCCGUGCCUGAACACAACUAGGGCCAAGAACUGGUGACUCGGAGAAAGGCAGGCAAGGGAGAGCUGCAACCCUUGGCCACACUGGGGCCCUGAGCAGCCAAGAGCGAGGCCGAGGUGGGGAGAGCAGAGGCCGACCCUGGCCAGGACCAGCCCAGCCGCACUGUUCCUGGGAGGGGGUGGCCAAGAGACGCCAGGGAUGGAAGACAGUCAGGCUCCAGGCUCCGGGUGGCUGGCAGGUUUGUGAGAGGCCCAGAGAGAAGUAAGGUAAGGCAGUAAGACACUUCAGACCACCUUCACCCAGGCUGGAGGACAAGAAAAUGUCAAGGAACAGCAUUGUUGGCCUUUGCCUACCAGGACAGUGGAUUGAAGGCUGCAUUUCUUCCAGAGCUGGGGGUGGGUCUCCCAAGGGCCCUUCCACUCCCAGCAGAUGCCCCUUAAUGAGAGACACCCCCCCCUUGAUGUCAGCUUGGCGCCGGAGCCCCAUCCGGUCGGGGCCUCUUUCCCGGCCCCUUUCCACAUUUCCUCUGCCUCAAGCAGGGGGGAAAAGUUUGGGAACAAAAGUUAGCUUAUGCUUUGGACCGGCCCCCUCCUUCCGCCAGUACUUCCAGUUUUUCCUUUCCUGGGCAGAGAGCCAGCAGCCUGAAAUGGGUUGGGGUCAAAGAGGAUAUCACAGCUUUGCCCCUGCCCUACCCCCCCCUGCUCCAUCUCCUGUCAGUCCCGUCUGGAAUGAACGGGCCCAACAGCCUGGGCUUCCCUUUAGCCUGCAGGCCAGGCCCCUCUCCCAGUGGGUGGCCCUUCAGACCUAGGUAACCCUUCAGUCCAGCCCCAGGGUGUAUGGGGAAGCCCUGGCCACUUUGUGGGAAGGAGCUGAGGGACUGGGAAAGGUAGAAUUUUUUCUGCCCCACCUCUGCCCCACUAGGGGGCCCUAGGAAGGACCCUGGAGGCCCUUAGGCUGAGGCUACAUGGGAUCCUGAUAUUUCUCUUUCAGAAUGGGACAAACUAAGCCCUCUUCAAGGACCUGAAGAACUGUUGAAGUGGAGUCCUUUCCCCCACCUCCCAGGGUUACAAAGACCUCAAGGACCUCCCUCUAUCUCUUGAAUUCAAGCAUUUGCCAAGUUGGAGAGACUGAUUCCGGGGAAAUCUAAAUGUAGACAGAAACCAAAGAUCCCAAGGCAGAAAGCUUAAAACCCCAACCACCAUUCUUUGGCUCUGUGGAACAGCCCAGCAAGGGGCCUCUGGCAAGUGGAAUGCUCCCCAUUCCCCCCUUUCCCUCCCAACAUGCACUUAAAAAACACAGAAGUGGAAAGACCCUAGAAACUUCCCAGAACUCUCCUCUGGGGAACGUCCUUGCUGCUUCUGGGUGAGGGACCUCAAACCUCUUCAUCCUUUUGCAAGGGUGACCCAGCCCUGACUCUGCUCCCCUACACAGCUCCCCACUCCUCCAGCUAAGCGGGGAGCAGUAACUGCCCUGAGUCCUGGUUUAAUGUCCUUGUGUUCAGAAAUCCAGGCCCAACAACACGAAACUACCUAAUUCACUCAGCAGCUCCAGUUCACGCACCAGGUCAAGGGCUCCCUGAGGGCAGGCCCCUGCACCCAACGGCUGGCCCGCUCACUCCCACUCUCCUCCACGGCUUCCCCAACAGAACCCAGCUGCUAGUAAACAACAUGUCUAAAGAACUGGAGGCAGGACUCCAGGAAAAACCAUUCUGGAGCUGGGCCUGGCAGCUCAGAUACCAGGGACUUUUUUUUGCUCUCUUCCAGGAGCCCUGGUGGAUGCGGACCCUAGGCCUGGGCAAGGCCUCACCGAUACACCUGCCUGGUCACCGCCUCUCGGCCUCCGUCUCCGCAG